UACGUAGGGACCAAGCGUUGUUCGGAUUUACUGGGCGUAAAGGGCGCGUAGGCGGCAAUUCAAGUCAUCUGUGAAAUCUCUGGGCUUAACUCGGAACGGUCAGAUGAUACUGCUUUGCUAGAGUGCGGAAGGGGCAAUCGGAAUUCUCGGUGUAGCGGUGAAAUGCGUAGAUAUCGAGAGGAACACCUGAGGUGAAGACGGGUUGCUGGGCCGACACUGACGCUGAGUGCGCGAAAGCCAGGGGAGCAAACGGG
rnacentral:rRNA from 1 species